rnacentral:rRNA from 1 species
UUCUGGCUCAGGAUGAACGCUGGCGGCGUGCCUAAUACAUGCAAGUCGAACGAAUCUCUUUUAGAGAUGAGUGGCGAACGGGUGAGUAAUACAUAGGUAACCUGCCCCUGUGCGGGGGAUAACAGGAGGAAACUCCUGCUAAUACCGCAUAGCCAUGAGCACCGCAUGGAGCUCAUGCCAAAUAUCCUUUAUGGGAUAGCGCAGGGAUGGACCUAUGGCGCAUUAGCUGGUUGGCGGGGCAACGGCCCACCAAGGCAACGAUGCGUAGCCGGCCUGAGAGGGCGGACGGCCACAUUGGGACUGAGACACGGCCCAGACUCCUACGGGAGGCAGCAGUAGGGAAUUUUCGGCAAUGGGGGAAACCCUGACCGAGCAACGCCGCGUGAGCGAAGAAGGCCUUCGGGUCGUAAAGCUCUGUUGUAAAGGAAGAACGGCGCAUACAGGAAAUGGUAUGCGAGUGACGGUACUUUACCAGAAAGCCACGGCUAACUACGUGCCAGCAGCCGCGGUAAUACGUAGGUGGCGAGCGUUAUCCGGAAUCAUUGGGCGUAAAGAGGGAGCAGGCGGCCGCAAGGGUCUGUGGUGAAAGACCGAAGCUAAACUUCGGUAAGCCAUGGAAACCGGGCGGCUAGAGUGCGGAAGAGGAUCGUGGAAUUCCAUGUGUAGCGGUGAAAUGCGUAGAUAUAUGGAGGAACACCAGUGGCGAAGGCGACGGUCUGGGCCGCAACUGACGCUCAUUCCCGAAAGCGUGGGGAGCAAAUAGGAUUAGAUACCCUAGUAGUCCACGCCGUAAACGAUGGUCACUAAGUGUCGGGGGUCAAACCCCGGUGCUGCAGUCAACGCAAUAAGUGACCCGCCUGAGUAGUACGUUCGCAAGAAUGCAACUCAAAGGAAUUGACGG